AUGAAAUAUUUUCUUCCCAUGGAUAUAUCCAUAGCAUCUGCAUACCUGAAAGCCAUGAUGGGCUUUAACAACUCACCAACACUCCAGCAGCUGGCAAGAAGAAGCCUGCUGAAAGAUGAAGCCUUGACCAUCUCUGCUCUGCCGAACCUGCCCAUGCAACUCUUCCCACCACUCUUCAAGGAUGCAUUCACCAGCAGACAUCCUAACAUACUAAGGCAGAUGGUGGCAGCAUGGCCUUUCCCAACCCUUCCUGUGGGAGCCCUGAUGGAGACGCCUCACCUGGAGACCCUGAAAGCUGUACUAGAUGGCCUUGAUUUGCUGAUGGCAGAAAAGAAUCAACCUAGGAGGAAACUAGAAGUACUUGAUUUAAGAGAUGCCCACCACGAAUUCUGGAAUGAUUGGGCUGGAAUGCAGCAUGUUGCCUGCUCUUCAGAUAUGACUGGCAAUACCCAACCAGAGGGAAAUCAUCCCAACCUGGGGGGGAGGAGACCAUGACUAUAAAGAUGAACCUUUCCCUCAUGUCUUGCCAUCCCUCUGCAUACUUAAAAUAUUUUUAUCAAUGGGCCAAUCAGAGAAAAGAUGUGAUACAGGUGAUCUGUGAGAAGUUAGUGUUUGGAGCCAUUCCUGCCUAUGAUCCACUGGAUAUUUUGGAGGUUUUUGAUCCAGGCUCAAUCCAGGAAUUGGAAAUAAACACAUGCUGGGACUUGCGUACCCUUGCAUUGCUAGCACCUGGCCUGGGCCAGAUGAAAAACCUCCAGAAACUCCUUUUCAAGGAAAUCUGCAUGCCUUUGGAUUGGCCUUGGCACCAAGAGAUGGAAGCCUGUUGUGUGACAGAGAUCUUUUCCCAGUCCUCCAAACUGCAUAAGCUCCAGCAUCUCUAUUUGAAUGAUGUCUACUUCCUGGCUGAACGCCUGGUCCAAAUGCUCAGGUACUUGGAGAGUCCAUUAGAGACUCUUGCUAUCACUCACUGCAGGCUGUCAGAAUCAGAUAUGAGGUAUCUGUCCCAGUGUUCAAGCAUCCAUCAGCUCAAACACCUGGACCUGAGUGGUGUCACUUUUAUUUUAAAUCAUCCAUUCCUAGGAAGCCUACUUAGAAAGACUGACAGCUACUCUGCAAACAUUCAUAUUGAAGGACUGUAUGCUCAUGGACUUCCAAAUCCAUGCCCUCUUGCCUGUGCUGAGCCAGUGUUCCCAGCUCACUGAAGUUGAUUUUGUGAAGAACUUCUUGUCCAUGGGCAGCCUGAAGAAGCUGCUGCAGCAUACUGCCAACCUCAUACAGCUGACCCUGGAGAAGUACCCUGCCCCUGAUGAAGUCUAUGAUGACUGUGAUGGUGUUAUUCCAGACAGAUUUGUACAACUUUGUUCUGAGCUUAUGAACACACUCAAGGGUGUAAGGCAGCCAAAGCAGGUCUACUUUGUGAGUAAGAGAUGCUUACAUUGUCAUGAAUUGUUUAUUUAUAAUUUGGAGGCCAGGCUAUGUUCUUGUUGGCAAUAAAUAAGAAGUCAUUGCUGGGCUCUGAUAAAU
rnacentral:lncRNA from 1 species